GGAAAUGCGGAGAGAUGUGAAGAAAUACCGGUGGCGAAGGGCGGCCCCCUGGACAAAGACUGACGCUCAGGUGCGAAAGCGUGGGGAGCCAACCAGGAUUAGAUAACCCUGGUAGUGCACCCCUGUAAAAAGAUGUUGAUUUUGAGGUUGUGCCCCUGAGGCGUGGCUCCCGGAGAUAACGCGUUAAAUAGACCGCCUUGGGGAGUAACGGCCCCCAAGGUUAAAAAUUCAAAAUGAAAUUACGGGGGGCCCCCACCAAAGGGGGGAGCAUGUGGGUUUUAUUUGGUGCAACGGGAAGAACCUUACCCUACUUUUUGACAUCCCCAGGAAAUUUGGAAAAGAAGCGUUGGGGCCUUUGGGGGAAUUUUUAGAACAGGGGGUGCCAGGGGGUUUGUUAACUUCUUUUUUUGAAAUGUUUGGGUUAAUUCCCCCAAAAAAGGGCAAACCUUUUCCUUUUUUUCCAAGCGAUUGGUUGUGGAAAUUCAAAAGGAGUCCCCUGUUAUAAACCGGAGGAAGGGGGGGGGGAUGUAAUGUUAUCAUGCCCCUUAAGAGUGGGGAUACACACGUUAUACAAGGGUGUACAAAAAGAGAAGAGACCUUGCGAGAGCAAGGGGAAUUCAUAAAGUACGUCGUAGUCCGGAUUGGAGUCUGAAACUCGACUCCAUGAAGUCGGAAUCGCUAGUAAUUGUAGAUCAGAAUGAUAGGGUAAACACGUCCCGGGCGUUGUACCAACGGCCCGUCAGAUGUGAGGAGGGGCCCUAAAGUAUGACCCUUGGUUCUAACUUAGUUUGUAACCAAGUU
rnacentral:rRNA from 1 species